AGUGAACGCUGGCGGUAGGCCUAACACAUGCAAGUCGAACGGCAGCACAGUAAGAGCUUGCUCUUACGGGUGGCGAGUGGCGGACGUGUGAGGAAUACAUCGGAAUCUACUUUUUCGGGUGGGAUAACGUAGGGAAACUUACGCUAAUACCGCAUACGACCUACGGUUGAAAGCAGGGGAUCUUCGGACCUUGCGCGAUUGAAUGAGCCGAUGUGGGAUUAGCUAGUUGGCGGGGUAAAGGCCCACCAAGGCGACGAUCCGUAGCUGGUCUGAGAGGAUGGUCAGCCACACUGGAACGGGGACGCGGUCCAGACUCCUACGGGAGGCAGCAGUGGGGAAUAUUGGACAAUGGGCGCAAGCCUGAUCCAGCCAUACGGAGUGGGUGAAGAAGGCCUUCGGGUUGUAAAGCCCUUUUGUUGGGAAAGAAAAGCAGCAGGUUAAUACCCCGCUGUUCUGACGGUACCCAAAGAAUAAGCACCGGCUAACUUCGUG
rnacentral:rRNA from 1 species